GUCUGGGUCUCGGCUGCAGUGACUCCUCCUUGGGGUGGGUGGUAUAGCAGCAGAACCAGCUCUGGGAUGACAAUGUGCAGCAGUGGCUUGGGCUCAGAGGGCACGGUGUAGUACCAUCAUAGCCUGUGGAUUGUGGGUCAAAGUCCCAACUUUGACCCCAGGGGGCAGUUGCGGGACAUCAGCAGCAUGUCGUUGGUGGGGGACCAUUAAAGCCACAUGUUAGGACCCAGGGAGUGGGGCUCAGGGCAGCAGCAGCAUAGCCCCAUCAAUGAUUCAUAGCCAUGGCCUGGGACCUGAGGGUGGAGCUCAGGGCAGCAUCAGUGUGGUCCUGGUGAUGGUCAAAUCAUGACCUAGGACCCAGGGAGUGGGGCUCAGGGCAGCAGAGGCUGCCCCUGUAAUAGUGGAACAAAGCUGUGCCCUGAGACUGAGGGCGGGGCUCAGGGCAGGUGCAGCUGCCAUCUUGAUUUGGUGAGGUGCUGUGGUGUCCUGAUCCCAGAGAGCAAGGCACAGCAGCAACUGGGGCCUCUGAGGGCAGGGCUCAUCGCAGUGACAGAUCAGCUCUGGGAAGGGGACACCGAGGUGAGGGCUCUGGGCAGCUCCAUCAGCUGGGAUCAGCGUUGGUGUAGACUGUGGAAGAACUCGCUGCAGGGGCUACAAACUUCCACAGGGAUGGUGGUAGGAUCCAGACAAGGCAGAAACGACUCCGUGUGUUGCUACUGGGAUAAAAUGCAGAAGUUCAUAUUCUCUUGUGGGCUGUUGGAUUUCCUUGGGAAGAUCGAAAUCAUUCCACAAGAAAUCAGGAGAAUGGAUUGCCAAAAUGAGCGUGAAGCAGCAAGCCAAACUUUUGUUGAAAGGGUUGUUUUCAGUUUAUUUAAAAAACUAUGACAAUUACAAAAAUAAUUACUCAUUGGACAUGUUCUAUUACUAACUUUUUAUGGAACAACAUUGGUCUAUGUAGUCCUAAGCUCUCAUAUGAAGUUAUCUACGGGUUCAUUGUGUUUGAGUACACCUUCUGGAAGCUCCUAGAAGGAUGCAUGGUGGAUACUUAGGUUUCUGAAUCUUUUUAAAGUAACCCUUUCAUUUCUUUUUAACUUCCUUUCCUUCUUUCUUUCUUAGUAUUUAGUCCUGUGCUGUCUAAUAGAACUUUUGUGAUGAUGGAAAUGUUUUAAUCUGUGCUGUUCAAUAUGGCAGCCACUAACCACAUGUGGCUAUUGAGCGCUUGAAAUGUGUGGUUAGUAUGACUGAGGAGCUGAAUUUUAAAUUUUAUUUCCUUUUAAUAAUUAAAAAUUAAGUUUAAAUAGCUAUGUGUGGCUAGUGACUAUUGAAUUGGACAGUGAGUCUAUCAAUUCAUUCUAGAAUUUUUGUUUCUAGUAUUUUUGAGACAUCCUUUGUGAUGUCCGGUUGUGUUUUAUGGUGGUUUGAAUUACUGGUCUAAUUUCCCUAAUCUCACAUUUCCCACUGCAAAAAGAUAGGUGGUUAGAAAGGGCUGACCGUAUCACCUUUAAAUCAAAUUUGAUUUUAUGCUUUGGAUGGGAUCCUCUGCUUCAAUUCUGGUUUAUUCUAGAUGGGCAUUCUGUGGUUGAGUGUGGGUGAAUUGUGGCUUUCUGCUAUACUUCUGGCACUCACAAAACACAAUGCUGAAGGCAGUCAUAUGUAACUGGGGAGGAAGCGUAUUUGCCUAUCUUUCAACUUGUUUGAAGACCAAACCACAGCCAUGUUGGUGUAAAGUAGCCGGGUGAGAUGGAACCAGCAAACUCUAGGACGACUUCAUCUUGGCUCACCAAAAAACGUCAAUGUUGAUGUGCCUUUCUUUUCUUUAUGGGCCUAAGUGACAGACUUUCCUGGGUCUCAGUUGCUGUGAAGAGGUCACUGGAAGUGGGAAGUAGCAUAUUUGCUACAUGUAACUAUUUCUGCAGUUGCCCUAGUGUUUGAAAUAAACCAAGAGCAAACCUUUCUACAAGAGGUGAGUUGACAGUAUGGUGCUCCAAGCCUCAAAUGUGACAAGCCUCAUAUGGUACUUGUCCUUCUUGUUCCUGGUAGGAUGGUUUCCAGUCUUCUUCUUUCAAGUUCAAGCACACGAGAUCCAGAACCAGGGGUCUUUUGAGAUACAACUGAAUGCACUGGUUCAAAUGACAAAAACUGUGGACCCACCUAAUGGAGAUGGCCAAAAGGGUAUCUUUUCCAUUGUUUCUGAUCAGGUUUCUUCAUCAGUAACUUGAUCGGUGACUUGAUUUUCUUCCUCAGUACCCUGCUGAGAAGCAGACCUAGUCUUGUUAUAGCUGGGUCAUUUCGUCUUGUGCGUCUUGUACAAAUCUGUAGCUGUCACUAUUCACAGGCUUGGCAAAGCCACUCACUAUGUAUAUAUUGUCGGCAGAAGGAACUUUCUUCCCUUUUGUUCCUGAAAAGGGGCAGGAAAACAUCCUUCCUCCUACUUUGACUAUCAGAUACUCGAACCGCCUGAGGUUGAAGGUGAAGGGUAGGUUACUACCGGUGCAGUGAAUGGUGAGUCCACCUCCCCAAGGGGCUGGAGCUCAGAAGCAGGAAGGUGAGCAGAUUGAAGUCUGUGGCAAUUUCCCGCUCUGGUUGCCAAAGGUAUCCCAUUGUCAAGAGAACCCAGAAAGACUGGAGCAUCUGCGUGAUUCUCAUUGCCUUUGUCCUUGCAUUUCAUGCGACCGCCGCUUAGAGGAAUGCUGGGUAAGUUCCAUGAGCCAGGCAGGUGCACAGGGAGUCCUCUGCCUGUGAAUUUCACCUUGGCCCAAGCUCUUAUGGUGAGCCAGGAGCAAACAGUCAUGGACUCGACUUUGAGUUUUCCCUGAAGCUCCCUCUCCUAAGCAGCACUUGACCCUGGCUGAUUCAAGGUCAAGAUGGGUGCUCAGGGGGGCCUCUAUUCUCUCCCUUCAUCCUUCCAUUGACUUCAAACAUUCAUUCGUUUACUCAUUCAAUAGUUAUUUAUUAGGCACCAGUUAUAUACUAGCAGUCUUCGCUGGGGAUACAGUUGUGAAUGAGACUUGCACAGCCUGUUUCUGUCUAAUCUGCAGAAUAGCUUCUAGACAUUUUCUUUCCUUAAAAGCUCUCUCCAUAUUCUUUCUGUAACAUCUGUGCCCCAACGACAGCAGGAAAAUCUUAUGAGGAUAUUUAAAAUAUGUUUUUCUAAUCGAUUCUCCUCUUUGGAUGCAAAAUGAACAUAAUGUAAUAAAAAUAGGACCAAAGAAACCAGAGUUAGAAAGUACGCCAAAACCCUUAUGGCACAGGAUAAUUUACUGAGAUUUUUUCCCGCUACCGAUGUCCAAGGGGAGAACAGAGCUUUGUGUCCUGGAGACCUGGAGCUGCCCUUGCCCACAUGGCAGAAGCAGGAGGCAUUUUGUUUUUAAAGUAUACAGUCUCGUAUAGAGAGGGUUGGGGACAGGAAUGGAAAUGCUGGGGUUGCAUGAAUUAUGUCCUGAGGCUAGGAGGGGCUGCAGUUCAUGUAUGUAGGCAGGAGGCUGCUCUAUGGAGUCCCCAGAGACAACGGGGCCUCUGAUCAGUGGAUCAGAGAGUUGGAGUGAGUGAGAGUUGGGGUGUGUGAGAGUUGGGAUAUGUGAGAUUUGGGGUGUGCGCAAGUUGGGGUGUGUGAGAGUUGGGGGUGUAGGAGAGUUGGGGUGUGUGUGAGAGUUGGGGUGUGUGAGAGUUGGGGUGUGUGUGAGAGCUUUGGUGUGUGAGAGUUGGGGUGUGUGAGAAUUGGGGUAUGUUAUAGUUGGGGUUUGUGUGUGAGAGUUGGGCUGUGUGUGAAGUUGGGGUGUGUGAGAGUUGGGAUGUGUGAGAGCGGGGUGUGUGUGAGACUUGAGGUAUAUGAGAGUUGGGUUGUGUGAAAGUUGGGAUGUGUGAGAGUUGGGGUGUGCAAGAGUUGGGGUGUGUGUAAGUUGGGGUGUGUGAGAGUUGGGGUGUGUGUGAGAUUUGGGGCAUGUGUGAGAGUUAAGGUUUCUGAGAGCUGAGGUGUGUAAGAGUUGGGGUGUGUGAGAAUUGGGGUAUGUGAGAGUUGGGGUUUGUAUGUGAGAGUUGGGGUGAGUGUGAGGUUGGGUUGUGUGUGAAGUUGGGGUGUGUGAGAGUUGGGAUUUGUGAGAGUUGGAGUGUGUGUAAAGUUGAGGUGUACGAGAGUUGAGGUUUGUGAGAGUUAGGGGAUAUGAGAAUUGGGGUGUGUGUGAGAGUAGGGGUGUAUAUGAGAACUGAGGUAUGUGAGAGUUGAAGUGUGUGAGAGUUGGGGUGUGAGAUGGCUUGGGCAUUGUAGUCAGAUUUGGGGGUCAUGUCUGGGCCGCACUGAACAGCAGAGGGGGCUUCAGAAGUCACUGAGACAGAGCCCUGGACCCAAAGCUUCAGGUGGGCUUGGGAAUCACAGUAGAACAACGACAGUCUUUUGUGAUGCACUGUUCACUUCUAUUUACCUCAGUGUGGGCAACUGUAAAACAGGGCAACAAACUCUAACAGAAAUUUGUACACCCACGUUCAUAGCAGCAUCACUCACAAGAGCCACGACGCAGAGGCGGCCCAAGUGUCCAUUGAUAGCUGAGUGGAUAAACAAAAGGUGAUAUAUCCGUACAAUGGAAUAUUAUUCAGGCUUGAGAAAGAAGGAAGGAAAUUCUGACACCUGCUACAACAUGGAUGAACCUUGAGGACAUUAUGCUGAGUGAAAUAAGCCGGACACGUAAGGGCAAAUACUGGAUGAUUCCACUUAGAUGAGGGGCCUAGAGCAGUCAAAUUCCUAGAGACAGAAAGUAGAAUGAUGGCUGCCAGGGGCUCGGGGAGGGGGAAUGGGCAGUUGCUGUUUAAUGGAUAUGGACUUUUGUUUGAGGUGAUGGAAAAGUUCCAGGGAUGGAUGGUGGUGAUGGUUACACAGCAGCGUGAAUGUACUUAAUGCCACUCAACUGUACACUUAAAAGUGGUUAAGAUGGUAAAUUUCAUGUUAUGUGUAUUUUACCACAAUUAAAAAAUAAAAUGAAAGGACAACAAAAUGGGCUUAACCUGUUAUAACUUCUAGAGUGAAAAGAGAAAACCGGCAUAAACCUUCUGAAGAGAAAGCUUGGAAAAUAGAGGGAGGUUAAGUGAUUUGACAGAGCAUAAAGUUAGAGCAAAUUUCUGGUGUUUUAAAAUAUAAGAAAUAUAAUCCAAAGUCUCUUGAGGGGUGAGUUCUGUCCUGGGCUGCCCCAGUGCCUCUGUCCUGAGUUUGUGUGUGUGCCUGGAGGGCCUCCAACCAGACAGAUGCUCAUUUCUCUCUCCCAGAGCAGUGGGGAGCAGCUAGUUGGUGGCUCUUCCAUGGGGUCUCCCUGGGACCAGGCUGGCUGUGUGGCUGUGCCUUCUUUAGGGUCACUGCUCCAGUCCCCUCUCCCUAGCCUUGUGAUUUAGUUUGGAUGCUAACACUUGGGGAGGGAACUCUUUGCUCUGCUUAGUCUCGCCAAGGGUGAUGGGCCCCCAAACUCUCUAACAGGAGGGGAAACGCAGUUGUGCUGGCCCAAGAUUGGGGAGGGUCAAGUGGAUUUAGUACACUUGAAAUGAGCAGAGUGCUGACCUCCUCAGUGGCCCGGAGGAAUGCCAGUGUGGCUACAGGUUGCACAGCAGGAUGAGGAAAAGGGUUUCCUCGUCAUAGGGUCCAAAAUGCAAUUGCAGGUUGAGCUUGACAACAGACUUAUUGCCACAGUCAUGGAACUAAGCUUUACCUUUAUGUAUGCAAAGGGUGUGGGCAAAGACUGGGUUUGCACACCAGCUCUCCCAGCAUUUUACUCCCACUGGUGAAAUGGAAAAGACAGGACUAUGAGGGGCAGAGUGCGGGUCAGCCCAGAGCGCCAUGUUCCUUCCACUGCACCAUUUCAUCUCUUCUCCUUACUGACCCGUCCCCUGAGGCCAUGUCUGUUAGCACUGUGCACUUGUUUUUAGAAAGUGGGCACUCUGGGAAGCCUGGGGGAGAGGGCCUUCCUACUAGCACCAGAGGAUGUGGCUCUGCUUGCCUUUCCUUGUGGUUGAAGUUGAAGGAGUCUUGGGGUUUGCGUUGUGGACUUGAGUUCCCGCUGCCACUAGGGGCCUGGCCUUUGAGAUCCCGAGUCUCCAUCUGCAGCCUGGGUCGUAUUCCAGAGUCACUUCAAGGUGUGCUGCUUGCCUGUAAAGUCCUUUGAUAUUUUGGCUUAAGCUGCUGUCCCAUUUGAGGCACCCACCGAUUCAAGUAACAGCUGGGGCCCUUGGUUUAUAACUCUCUCAUCUCACAUUUCUGGGUGGAUUUCUUUUUGUAGACAAUGUUCUAUGACUCACCUUUGAAAUGAGAAUUUAUCAGCUUAGGGAUUCUUCUCUUUGAAUUGUCGGAAUAAGAAUAAACAUAACACCCCAAAGUCCUGUUUCCAUAGUCCUUGGCCCAUCACAAAGAUGGAGGUGAGUCUCUCCCCACCCCUAUCUGGGGCCUAUGCUUUAUUUCUUUUUUCCCAAAGAAUAGCACGGGAAUUCUCGCCUGCUUCUUUCGUCUGUCUAGGGAACUGCUGAUCCAUCCCUCUGUUAUCCUGGUUCUGCCACUUAUUGCUGGUUCCAUGUCUCCUCAAGUCUCAGUUUCCUCACUCAUGAAGUGGGUGUAAUAGCUCAGGGUUGCUCAGAGUUUAAGCGAGUUUCUGUAUGUGAAAGUACUUUAUUUCAAAGUGCUACCCAAAUGGACAUUACUUUUCUGCUAAAAACCCUGUGAGAGGAUAGACCGUUUGUCCCUCUCUGGACUCGCUGCCUGGUGUGAGAAUACGUCUUGAUCAUACUGUUGUUAAAACUUAUUAAUAACGAAGAUCAUGUCUGUCUCCUCCUCCUGGCCCUCUUUCCCUCUCUCCCACUUUUGUCCAAGAGGUAAUGAAAAUUGGUUUUCAUUUCUUUUUCUCUUUCUUGGUAGCCCAGCCUCACUGUUUGGAGAGGCUCUCAAGGCCACUGCCCCUUGAAUUCUGUGAUUGCCAUCUGCUUUUACAAGAGUCGACUGAAGGUGAUGCUUUAGACCCAGGAAGAUGUUGGAAAGCUGCACAGCCUGUGUCUUUGGACCCACAGAGACUGAUGUGAAUGUUAAGUUUUCCAAGGCUCUUCUUGGCAGCUCGGCGGUGACCUGAUUCUUUGUGUAAUGUGAAGCUACCACGGACGCGGCUAAAUUAUACUUAAGAGUGUGGUUCAUCCACUGGGAACCUAGAUACACAUGUCCUGGAUUUUAUCGCCAACCAACAAUCUCGAGGGGAUGGUUGGCUCAUCAAUGUAACAUCUCUCUCUGACCCUUGGCAUUCCAGCUAGUUCUUGAAAAUUACUACCAUGUGACAACUUUGCAGUAGUCUCUGUGUGGAGAAGACAGAAAGGGAAAAAUUUCAUGAAAAUUGCCAUCGUACUUGGCAUUUUGGUGGCUGUCUCUCGCUUUGUUGUACAAAGUGAUCUGCUUUCACAACAGUUGGAAGGAGAUGGAGAUGAGCUUCCAACUGCUCUCAGGUUGUCCAGAUGUCAGACUGUUGGAAGCAGAGCUGGUGGAACACAGAACGCACUGGUGAAGUCCAGGAAGCCAAGAGCAUGUGACACUGUGAGUGUGAGAGGAUUGAAAUGGAAGUCCCACCGUUUGGGUGAAAUCUAAGACUUCUAAGAAUCUAAGAAUAAUCUUAGAUUCAGAGGAAGUUGCAAAAAAAUAAAAUACACAGGGAGCUCCUAUGUACCCUUUAUGCCUGUAACAUCUUGCAUAACUAUAGCAUAAUAUGAAAACUAGGAAAAGAAGCAAAGUGCUUUUGAAACAGGUGACACAGAGAGAUAAUGAAAUCACAGUACUAUUGCAAAGAUAGCAUGGACAUUUUUUUGCAUUCCUACUGUGUGCCAGCCACUAUACAGGGCAUUGGGAAUGUAAACAAACCAAUCUUGGGUCCUUCCCUCAGGGAGUAACAGAAUAACCAGGGAGGCUGACAUUAAAUAAAGAAUGAUGCAGAUAAUUCAUGAAUCACACUUGUGAUAAGUGUCAUGAAAUGGAAAUAUAGCCAAAAGAAAAAAAGUUGAUUUCAUGAAAAGAUACCUUAAAAAUUUCCAUGAUGUUUAGUAAUCUUAAGAUUUUCCAAAGAUUCUAUAGUAGCUAUAACUUUAAAGUUUACUCCUAGUAUUGCAAUUAUGAUUGUGUCCUUUUCUUGGCUUAUUUUUUUCAAAUUUCCUCUUCUUUUUGGUCUGAGGAAGCCAAGAUGUCCUGAAAUGAAAGGGCACUGAUAAUUGUGCCCGCAAAUGGCAGUUUAUAAGGGUGUUUUUAACAUACGUCAGCAAUUUGGCUGCACAAAGGGAGUCAGGCCUCAGAGAUCUGCUCCUUAAUAUCACCAGCAAUUAGGAGUGAUAACACCCAAACAGACGCUUGCCAAGAGGAGAGAUUCUUGAACGUCAGCCAUGUUUGACGAGACCCCGAAACCUCUUCUGGAUUGUAAAGCCAGCUGCCGCUGGUUUCAGAAGGCAGCUUUGGCAAGCCACAGAGAGUUCAAAUGCACAAGGUUCAUUCAUGUGGUUCGGAGAUAUGAUCUAAUUUGGAAUGCUUAUGGCUUAAGUGAAGAGAGGAACAAUUAGAUUUAUGUUCCCGUUGAACGUAAGAAGUGGUAUCCCGGCAACUCAAACAGAACGCCCGCAAGAGCGCGACCCUCCCCACCUACUUGGUAAACUCAGUGCAGGUGGCGGAAAUAAUACCUGGAUAAAUACCACUGGUCACUCAGGACGUUUUCUUUGUAUCAACAUUUGCUGUAGGAGGUUCUCACAUCCCCAGGCUUUUGCCAAGCAAACAGUGUGUCUCAGACAAGAAGUGGGGAACAAAGGUUUGCCAGUAAUGGGCCUCGUGGGGGUGUGUGCUGCGGGGUUACCCCUCUGAUGUCAACUCCAGUUCUUGGGAACUGCAAUCUUGAAUUAGGAUACCUGCCCAAGAGGCACGUGAUGCACAGAAGUGCUGACUUUAUGUCUGUUCAAGUGGGGCGUCUUUUGUAAUUUCUCAUUCCUCAAUCUAUGUUCUGCAUCACUGAGCCUUUCACUCUUGGUGCAGAAGCCAGAUCUCCACUUCAGUUGCUGUAUUUGCCCACCUGAAAAUUCCAGUAAUUGGCCUCAUCAUUACUCUAAAUAAAUGGGGGAGGGGAAAGCCGCACAAAAUCCAUCGCUCUAUGGGGAGAUGCAGGAUCUGUUGGUGAUCCUCUUGAUGUUAAUCUUUUUGUUGAUUUGUUAAUUUCUCUCUUAUUAUACUUUUUGAGUUGUAAGUUUUAAGAAUGAUUUUUUCCCCCCAGAAUGUUGGUGUUGAAUUUGGGAGAAUUCACUAUUUUUAAUGAAUGCUGGUGAGUGGAUGGGUGUGCUUUUGGGCCUGGAAUCCUCAUGUACUAAUCCUGGCAGGCAGAUGCUGUAUCCCCCAUGGCCCGGCAUCCUACUCCCACACGUAUCAGCUCUCAGUGCAUGCUGUCUGCUUUGCUGUUGAAAGCUUGUAGCUGGACAGGACAGGUGUUAAGAGCUGUGCUUUGGAGAAGAUAUAUCUGACUUUGAAUCCUGCAUCUGCCACUUACUCUUCUGAGUCCUUGGGCAAACCACUUAGCCUCUCUGAGCCUCAGUUUCCUCAUAUGUAAAAUGGGAACGAUAAGACCCACCAGAGAGAGUUGUGAAAAUUAAAUGAGAUGAUGCUUUAUAUUUUAUAUGGAACCUGUGGAUGGCCUGUUUCCCCUGUUAAAGUGUAAGCCCCAUGGGAGCAAGAAUAUGUUUAUUCACCACUAUAUCCCAAUGCCUGUACACAGUAAGUGCUCAAUAAAAUAUUUGUUAGAUUAAUGAAAAUGUGCUAUAGAUUUUUCUGUGAUAUUACUGAGAAAAGGAAGAGAACAGUUUAAAGAUUUGAGGAAUGAAGACGAGAUGAUUAUAUUGGAAACAAAAUAAUUAGAGGAAGAUAUUUUUAUCAACAUGAGUUAUCUAGAUGUAUCUUAGUAUUGGGCAUUAAUUCCACUUCUAAGCAAAUUUAUUAUUUUAGCUAAGAAGUCAUCAUUUACUUUUCUAGACGAUGUUUUUCAGGAUUCCUGAGAAAAACUGUCUUACACAUUUUUAAAUCUUUGACAAGUAUACAUAUAUAUUUUUAAUAGAAUUAUGUUUUUUGGCUCCCCGCUGAAUAUGGCAAAGACUUCCUCUCUUCCAUUCCUUCUUUCCCCCUCCUUCCUUGCUGUCUCUCUUUCCCUCCAAGAGGAAACACUGAAGGGCAUUUAAAAUAUUUCCAAGAAUUAAGGAUGUAGGGAAUACAUCCUUAUGGACCAGAUCCAUUGGAAUGGAUCAAAUCUACAUAAGGAGGUGUUUGGAAAUAUUAGCUUCUCAGGAAAGUUUUAAAUAAAAUCAAAAUAUUGUUUUUUUCUUAGGAGUUACUCAGCUUUGUAAUUCCGUAGAUAAUUAGUAAUUUUCUUUCUCUCCAAAUUCCCAAACUCUGGUACCAACCAGGAGUCCAUUUGGAGCAUCGUGGUGUGUCUGACUCAGUUGGGGAUGAGGUGGGUGCUCCUUCCAAGCGCUCAUUGCAAAGUCCUGAGCAACUUUAAAUGUUUUAAGGGCAAUUCUUUCUCUCACCACCAGAUGGAGAAGGUACUCCACUGGAGUUCACCACGGCAUUUGCUUCAUUGACGGUUUUGGCACUUCUUUCUGGACUGGGUGGUUAGUAUUUUUCUGGAUGCAGAAUAGAGAACAACUGAUGAGGGACUGUAUUUUAACAGUUUAUGUAGGAAUUAAAGUACAUGUUAUUACAGGUUCUGGCACCUCUUUGCCCACUUAAACUAUCUGGAGAGUUAUGUAUUUUUAACCCUUAAGAGACUGGUCACAUGUCAAUACACGUGAGUUUGAUUUUUUUUCUUAAGUUAAACUUUGACUUCUUAUUUCAUGACUUCCAACCCAUAACCUGUCUCCCCCUUUCUUUAUGGGAACAUAAUAUGAGGUUGAUAAUUAAGAACAAGAAUGGUGGGGUGGGGACCCAUAGCUCUGGGUUCAAGUCCAAACUGUUCUACUUGGGCCAGCCGCUUACCCAACCCAUCCCUCAGGUUCCUACAAAGUGAUAUAGCCACUUCACAGAAUCUCUGGAAGGUGUGAAUGAGGCCAUCCUGCUGAUGGCCCCCACAUGGCACCUAUGCUGUGGGUGCUCACAACAGCUUUGUUUAAUGUUAGCUGGGAAAAGGCUGGUGAGUGCAAUAUUUUAUAUCUCUCUCCAAUGCAUUAGCAUCUCAGACUAUGCUAAGUCUUAAUUUAGUUAUGGCCUCUUUGCUUGCUCUUCGUACCUCCAUCCUUUGGAUAGGCUAAAGCAGCGGUUCUUAAGGGUGGGGAAGGGGAGAGAUAUUGUCUCCCCAGGGGACAUUUGGUAAUGUCUGGAGACAUUUAUGGUUGCCACAGUUGGGGAGUGGGUAUUACUGGCAUCUGUGGGGUAGAGCCUAGGGAUGUUGGUAAACAUCCUACAGUGCAUAGGACAGCCCACCAAAACAGAGAAUGAUCCAGCUCCAAAUGUCAGUAGGACCAGGGUUGAGGAACUGGGCUGAAUGGUACUCAGUAGAAGAAAAGUUCCCUGUCUUUGGUCUAGUCCAUUCAACUUGAUUCAAUUCCAAAUAUCUACUCAUCUGGACCUCUGCUAGACUUUAGACCAAGGAUGAAAAGACACAGACUCGUCUGUGUCUGGGAAGGAUCUGGGGUUUUACUCUACUUACAAGCUAAUAAGUUAGCCUGUUACUGUUUCAUGGAUGCUGGCAGAAGAUGCAGACUCCUGGGUCAGAGACAAAGGACUUUGUUAUUCAGGGCGCAGCAAGCUGAAUGUUUAGUGUGUUGGCAUGGGCUCCCCUUGUCCUCCAAGUCCCACAGGGGCAAUAUGGUGGAGACUUGGUGGAUGUUAAGCAUGCAGUGGGUUUUCAUCACUACCAGGAACACUGAGCUUGAAGAAUCCACUGCUCUUACAGUUAGUGGUAAGCAAGCCUGCUCUUUGUCUGGGGGAAGACAUUACCUCAUCCCUCAAGGUCGUAAAGAAUCAUGUACAAGGCGCAGAGGAGAUGCACAGGGUAUUUCAGAUUGGUAGUGUUUGAGAAGGCUUCAUGGAGGAGGAGAUAUCUCAACUGGGUUUUGAAGAGUGAAUAGGGCUUCAACCCAUUGACAAGGGGAGGAAAGUUUUCUCUUAUCUUCCCGGCAGUAAAUUAACUUCCCUCCUGAGCAUCUCAGCACAAGUUGUGUGGGGACAGGGAAGACACUCUGGAGAAGUCCUGGCUGAAGAGGUUAACUAAUGAGCAUAUGUGGACUAUUGCCUAUUGUGUCAUGCUAUUAUAAGCUUUUAUCUAACAAUAAUUUACUAUGAGCCGUUCAGCUACACUUUUAUUAUAUAGUUUUAUUCCAUGCUGCAGCUGUGGGCCCGUACUGACCCAUAGGAAGCAUUUUCUUUACCACUAAUAGACCUUUCUUCAACACAUGGUAGCAUGUCAGGCUGAGGUUGAUGGACUAGAAAGCAGGAUCCACUGGAUCACCUACAGGAAGAGCUGGGAAGGUGAUGAGAGCAAGGAGUGAUGAGUCUCAUGGGUAAGCAUGGGAGCCAUUUGGGUAAAUACCAGAGCACAGUCUCUUGUCACCCAUGAUAGUAUAAACACACAGUGGCUGUAUUCAAAGCAUCAGAAGCUGGGCAGGCAGCGUGUAAAAGAGAGCCUAAUUAUGGAGAAUCCUUUGUGAUGCCAUCACAGCAUGGAAUAUUAUACCACAGGGAAAAUGAUGGGACUAGGCUGUAUGCAUCCACAUGGGUAAUCUCAAUCUUUUAAUCCCAAAGCCAGAAACCAUUCUAUAUACUUCCAGCAGGAAGGGUUUAAUAUAGGGAAUGAAGUCUUACAAAAUUAUUGGAAGAGAUGGGAGCAGCAAAAUCCAGGGGUGGGGAUGCUCCUCAGAAAUCAGGAAGUUGCAGGAAGCCACUAUUACUACUGUAGAAGCCCAUGUUAUUUUGCCACCAUCGCAGCCUGAGGAAGAGUGAAACCGGCCUUUGUCCCACCAUCCACCUCUCCUUGAUAAUAUCAGGAUGGAAACCCUGUGGGCAAGGGAUGCUGGGAGCUGUUCUCGGGAUUCUACAUCCCGUGAUAGAGCUGAGAGCAAAGAUGGGGGCAGGAAUGUGCUGAGUGUCAAGCGACAAGAAGAACAUGACAUUGAGUGACAAAGCAACUCCCAGAAGAUUACAUAGAGCAGGAUGCCAUUUCUAUAAAGCACAAAAACUAAACAAUGUAUUGUUGGGUAUUUACACAGUGGGAUGCCAGAGUCAGCUUGGACUGGCUUGCAGGACCCAACAGUUAAAUUCCCAGGAAUUUUGCAAGCCUAUUGUUAAACACAGCCAAUAUUAAAAAUUAAAUUGUAUAAACUUAUAAUAAAAUAAAUUACACUUAAGACAAUGGUAAUACAUACUUUAAAUUCACCAUCUCCUAAUUAUCUUACUGAAUUUUACUCAUCUUUGCUUUUGAGGUUAUUUAUAUCUAUUGUAUCGUAUGGUAAAAUUCCUAUAACUUGGCGUGUUACUACAAUCUCAUUCCAACUCUGUGUUCAGCGCCAUCACCUCGGUAGCCUGAAACGGGCCAUGAUGGGAGGGUUACGUGAAAGAACUUGGCAAAUGCUACAGAUCAGGGCUUGAUUGUUUGGCUGAUUGUCUAGACACAACAAAAUGAUGGGCAAAUGUUAAUAAUGAUUAACAGACUGAACUUAAAAGUUUGUCAUGUCUGUGGCCGUUACAUUGUGGAUAGCAUAGAAUUUGAGGAAAUAGUCUUCCAUUGUUUGAAAACUAUUAUCUGAUUCAACAAAGAAAUUGCUCACAUGAUUGAUGAAAGAGUGAUUUUCUUCCUCGUGUCUUUGUCAUUUUGCUUUCUUCUUGUGAAUGUAAACAAAAAUAUCAACUAACAUUUGUACUGGGCCUACAUCAAUUGCAACUGUUCGUUGACUACAAUUAUGAAAAUUUGGCAAAAAUCAACAAGAGUUGUUGUUCUGUGAGAAUCAAUUGACUGUAAAAAUUUGCAAUAAAGGAUAUUCUGUAUUUUGUUUUUAUUUGUAAAUUGUGCGCUAUACACACUUUGUAUCCAAAAAAAUUUAUAACCAACUUAUAUAGGGAUACGCACACACACAUUUAAUUUUGGGAGAGUUGGUUGUCAAACACUUACCAUCACACCACUGCAUCUAUAUGACAAAGCAAGUGUAUGAUUAACGACAUUCCAGAGAGCUGUUACCUUUGAGUGGGUAUCUAUCCACACCCCGCUCUGUUUUGUCUUUCUCCCUUCAUUUCUAUCUACCCAGUCAUCUGAGUUCAAAGGUGGGGAGUCAUCAAGGAAUCUUCCAACCCCUUCGCAUUUCACUGAUUUUUUCUUCGAAAUAUGUCAUGAUAUUCAUGGUUGCACAUGAUGGGAACUGUUUCCAGAUUUGAACCCAAUUGAGAAAUGCCUCUUCCCAGUGAUUCUGCUCGUAUAACACGCAGAGCACAGACUGCAGCAGAGGACACGGUUGCCAGAGAGAGAGCAUGGAGGACAGAGGAGCAGAGAUUCUGUGUUUUACCCAGGUACUUCAGCAAAGUGACUCGGGGCAUUGGUCAAUCUAGGGGAAGCCAAGCUCUGCAAAAACAAUCAAGAAAGGUAUAUAAUCAAUAUACAAAGGGGACUUGGGGCAGUUCAUGAGGACAGACCAAGAGUUAGGCCCCUGCAAAAAGGAAAGUGACAUCCCAGUGUAGAUCCUACAGAAACAAGACCAGGAUAUGCAGGAUAGGAUAGGCAGAGUCCAUGAGGACAGAUCCAGAAGGGAGUGCAGGGGCUGCUCUCAGGGUGGGGCCAGUGGAAACUGACACGCAGGGGUGAGGCUGAACCAAUAUGGGCAGCACUCACCUCGGCCCCCGGGCAGUAGGGGCCUCCCAGCUGUGUCUGGAGACAGGACUUGGGCACCAGGGGCUUCAGCACCUCCUCAUAACGCAGAUGCUUCUCAAUGGAAGCUCCCGGAGGAGGAAAUUAGGAAAGAGGGUGGAGCAUGGAGAGACGCUGGGGAGUGGUCACUGUGAGGCUGCGGCCUCCCCGGAGACCCCGACCCACAAUCCUGCCUGCAAGAGGUGGCUUCUCCAUGGAGCUUGUUUCUGAGGCUGCCUUCAGCAUCUGUGUCCAUAGGACAGUCAUAGUUAUGUGCAAGGCAGACCCCCUCUCUGCUUGGAUGUGCUUUUCUACACCAAGAAUAAAGCUCCUAGCUGCCUCCCUUUCCUCCUCCCCACAUCUCUCCAGAGCCCUGCCCUUGCUUAGGUGGACUCCUUUCCUCUCUUCGAAGGAGAGAGAAGGGGAGCUCCUUGCUGCACCCAUAAUGCACUGGGACUCACCCUGUUGUUGGUAGCAGUAUCUUGCUAAAUAUCAUUCUCAGAAGUGGAAAUCACUAAUGCUUAAGUCAACUUCUGGGAGAAUGAGUAUACAUAUAAUUUAGUUUUCAAUUCACUGGGAGGGCUCAAUAGUUCUGCCGUUUUCACUGAGUCCUGUAUUUAAAAGUCUGUGGUCAAUGUUGAUCUUUGAGAUCUGGACCGGGCAGACCCAACUUUACUGAUGUGGUCCAGGUUCUGUAGCCUGAGCUUCGCACAACCUGGUAAGCAGUACAUCCUGUUCAGGAUGUGGCUCAGCUUCCUCUGAUUGUGUUCCAGGUCAUAGGUAGAUAGAUUGCAAGGAAAUUAAAGUGUAUUUGUAGCUGGUAAUUUGGAAUUUGGAUUGUAAAGACACUAGCCAGUCAAGGCAACCACAAUAUCUCAGGAUGCAAAAGGGCUUGACUCCACUUAGUGGGAAAAUGCAAGUUAAAGAUGUGGCUUCAUGCUUCCUCCCGCAGAGCAAGAAGCCGACCCGUCCUCUGUCCAAGGAGACGGGUUCCAAGUUCAUUGUGGCCGACCUUGGGAGGCUGACCAUGCCCAGGGUCAGACCGCAGGUGGCCUUGACAUUAAAGACCCUAUUCUCUUCUGUCCCUUCCUUCUGCCACAGUGUCCCCUGGUGCUUUGAGCUGGAAAUACUUGUCCCAGCUCCAGCCCAAAGGAAACUGCCUACUUAGCAGAAGCCCCUGGCUAGUCCUCAUUCCCCUAAAACACAAGGAUGCUACAACACUUCUCACACUUACUCCCCAAUCACACUAGAACAUUCCUUAAGGGAAGCAUGCCACCUGGUUACUCAACUGUCUGCAAUCUCACAGGAGUCAUUCAUUCUUUUAUUUUUUCUCACCUCAUCUCAUCCCGCCUCGAACAAUUAUAUAAUGUUGGGUGGGCAUGCACUCUAUUAAACAGCUGCUGGGAAUUCCCCUUGGGAGCCAGAGGCAGAGCAGGCUGACUUCCGUGUUUCCCUGUGUUUAAGAUCGCAAACUACCCUGGCUUCCCUUGGACAGGGACAUGGAAGGCCCUAUCCCUGUGCCCAGACCAGCACAGCAAGUGAGGCGGGGUGGGAAGGGAGGGCUGCUCCAGAAAUAAGGACUACUCGGAGGCGUUUCAUUAUGGCCCCUUGCCAGGCUGCCAGCUGUAUUAUUAUUUUCUGCUUGCUCAGGCUCCGUCCACUUCUGGUCCUGGAAGGGAAACACUGGCCGAUGCUGUAGUACGUUUAUCAUCUUCAGGCUUUGUGACUAACCACAGGACUGCAUGGAACAUUCCCUGAAGAAAUGGAAGCACCCCGCUGUUAGAUCAAAAGGAGCCGUUCCGCAGCUCUUUGUAAUUUGGCUGCUGUGCUGAGAGGCUGCUUGGCCUGGGCUGUGGGUGUGGUGGCUCUCAUCACAUUGCGCCGAAAUUCGCUGCACUGUUUGCCCAGCUGGUGUCUGUUUAGAGAGCUAUUUAGAUUCUCCUGUGGAAAGGAAAGCUUCCCAUUCUUGGAGAAACCACAGUGAUUAAGUACAUAUAAGAGAAAAGCAUUAUGAUGACUAAUCAGAACAAAAUCAAUGAUUCCCUUUUUGCAUUAUAAAUGAUGAUGUUUAUAGUCAACAGCUUUUAGCAAGAGCCCAAGUGUGACUUUGGGGUGGGGCAGGGGGAGAACCACAUAAAUGCCACUGAGAACGGGACCUGUCAGUUAAGAAAAGAACUGGAAACAAAGAUGGGAUCAGGGUGCCCAUAGAAAAUCUGACCUGGCAAAUUCUUAACCUUUGUAAUAGAAAAUACUAUCUGAGGAAACGAGUAUUUUUGGUUAGCUUACAUGCAGCCAUUUGAGGCUACCCAACCUAGUCUCUCUGUCCUGUGGGACGCUUUCCACAAAACCUGACUUGAAGCCUGAGGAUCUUGUGUUCCCCUAAAUUUCCAUGCAGCCGAGAAAGUGGGAAGACACGUCCGUAGGAACCCAUCAGUGACAGGGCGCUCACCACCUCAUGAGACUGUUCCGGCUUUUGAACAGCUUUAAUUGUUGGAAAGGCCUCCCUCACAUUUGGUUGGAAAUUGUCUCCCUGUCAUUUUUAUCUAUUGGUCUCCAUGCUGCCCUUUGGAACUAUAUGGAAAAAUCUAGCUCUCUCCACACUGCGGUUCUUGCAACAUUUAAAGAUAACGUAGUGUUUGCACUGUGUUAUUUAUAGUCUCCUGUCUGAAUGUCCUCACUGUGUUCUGAUUUGAAGGAAGAACACUGGUCACCUGUCUGCCACUUCCUACCAGAGUCCCCUGGUAGUGAUCAUGGGGGGUCCAAAUGUUGCUCAUAUAUGGAGAUCUGCCGCCUCCUUUGUUCAUGACACAAUACUUUUAUUAAUUAAUCCAUCCUAAGAUCUCAGUUAGUUUUUGUUGGCAGCUGUGUCAUACUGCUGGCCUGUGUUUACCUUAAAGUCUGAAGAGCAAUCAACCUCCUGUUCCCUUAAAUUUCAGUAUACCUGGAGGGUUUGGGAAGAAGAAGAAGCAAAAAUUUUGACCUAGUUACUGUCAACUUGUUGCUUUUAUCAAGGCCUUUGAAUGUCGCAUUUGAUAUUAGAAUCUUAAGCAAGUGGAUAUAUUACGUUGAUAUGUGGCUCUGCAUAUUGUCGCGUAUGUGAUGUGAUAGGAUCACACUAAAAUUUAUGUUCUCUUUUGGGAAUGGUGGCUGGAGCUCUGUUAGAGUUUAAAAGGAAGUAUAUGUGCAGUUGAGGCACAGGGCGUGCACAGGAGCAGUUGAACAAGCGGAAGGUGUUAUUCUCAAUAAGGAGCUGACCCCACCCCAUUGAGAAAUUUAAGGACACUUGUAGGCAGUGUUUACAGAGCCACGGGAACUUCCUAUGACCGUUUGUAAAUAUCUUUUGGGUGCCUCGUGCUGAUGUUAGGUUCUGGCUUAGCAAAAUGCUACCAGGCACAGUCCCAGCCUUCAAUGUCAAGGAAAGCCUUUGUAUAACUACCUUUGUACCUUACACAGAGCAGACCCUCCAAAAUCGUUUGUUGGGUGAGCACAUUCAUUCAAAAAUAUAUUUGUUAUACCUUCCCGAAUCAAUAGAUAGGACCUAUGGAGGUACCUGCUUUGAAGUGGACAGAGCCUGUUCAGAACAUCUCUCUCUAUCUCUGCCAUCAUUGGACAACUGUCAAUCUCAUGACCGUUGCAGACUAGAGAAUGGCUGACCGAGAGGUGGGAGGCCUGGCCUUGGAGAGUGCAGGAGCAGCUUCGAUCUUCCACCUCCCCUGCCCAAUCUUUAGCCCAAAUCCCAGGAGCCAGAGCAGAAUAGGAAACAAAGUCUCAGAGAAGUUAAAAGAACUUAUCCAAGUUCCUUCCUGCAGGAACAGCAGUGCAAAGGAGCCUGUCCACCCCACAUGAAGGUGCAGAGGGGCUGGAGGUGAAGAUACUGUUUGUGGCUGCUGCUGCCAUGCGGCCACCUUUGAGUUAUAAAUCAGGACCAUCUCACUGAUGAGGAAAGGUAGGAGAAAGGCCAAGCCUGAACGAACAAAGAGGCAAAUAAAUAAGAAAGGAAAAAGGGACCAUGAGGAAGGAGAGAGAGGGAGAGACAGGA
ensembl:lncRNA